rnacentral:misc_RNA from 1 species
CAAACACCUUACCUGCCGUAUCUCUCUGUUCUUCCUCUUCCGUUUGCCCCUCUCUGCUUCUUCCCCACGCCAGCUGCUAACACAAAACGGCUCUUCCAUUCCUCUGUGUUUCACUCCCAGUUGCCAGCUCCCGGCUCUACCUCGUCGGUAAUGGAUCCUCCACCGUCGGACCCGACGUUGUUUGUCCAACCCCACGAGUUCGUCGCCAACCUCCAUGGUGAACUCCACAGAGCAGGCAGUGGGCGGCUGGCCGCAGUAGCACGCGUCGCGGCUUGCUAUUCGCGCAUCUUGUUGCUCUCGUAUGUCGAGCGUCAUCAGCCAACCUGGUGUGCGCCGUCCAUCUUGUUCCUACUUCCUCCAAAGAAAGAAACCGAAGAAGGAUGCGAGUAGCACAAAUGCGAUUGGGAUGGUGGCGGUGUAGAUGGCCGCGGCCCGCGGGGCUGGACUUGGACGGCGUGGGGAAGGGGACAAGAGGCCAAGUCCAAGAGCGCAGGUGGCGGUGGUUUGGUAGGUGGGGCCGGCCGACGGAGUUGGAGAUGUCAGCGGCGUAGAGGACAGAGGUAGAAGGAGGAGCCCGACUUGUUAUCGUUGGCCACAGUGCUGGUGAGGUGCACGAUGGUGGCGAUGUCGGCGCUGUAACAGAGCGCGCAGGUCGCCUGUGAGGCGAGGUCGGGGCCGCAGGCCUGCAGGAAGAGUUGAGGGACUGGGCGGACCAACGGAGUCGUUCCCGACGGCGGCCACGAACUCCGUAGCGGUGGAGACGCCUGCGCAGUAGGACGAGGUGAUGACAAACUGGCUGAGGUCCGGCCGUCCGGGCGGGAAGGAUUCCGCCAUCAAGGAGGAACCUAAGAGGCUCGCUGGCGCUGUGGAGAUGAGGUUCGUGAAGCUCUCAAUGCAGGCCGUAGAGAGGCCGCCACGGACAAGAGGCGAAAGU